GACCAGAGGCUGCCUGCCUCUGGGGCUUGGGGACAGGCAAGAUGGCUUUUAACCCUAUGUGAGCCUCCACAUGUGAGCUGCAUUGACAGCCAGCCUUGGAUGUCCCUGGUGGGUUUUCUGUGCACCUGGGAAUUGAACCCACGGCUUUCAGAACACUUGACAAGCACUGUAGGGACUGAACUACAUCCCCACACCAGCUUUUUAACUUUUUGAGGGCCAUUCAUUCAUUCAUUCAUUCACCAGUCAGUGAUGCCUUCUGCCCAGUGCCAACUCAACGUAAAGAUCUGGGGAUAUAGAGAUGGCUGUGCUGGGGUCCCCAACCUCAUUAAGCACAAUGACCCCAAGUGCUAACAUCAUGGAGCACCCACCACACACUGGAUAAUAACAGCAAGCACAUGGAUGUGAUCUCCACCUCAUACCAAGAACGCCAGGAUCGUGGUGGUGCAGCUGGGAACUGCCCCUUGGACAGCUGCCAGGGAAAUGUGAUCGCUGAGCUGGAGUGACCUGCCCCUGCCCAGCCCCCUAUUGGGUUUCAGUCAAGGCAAGUGUCCUUGGGCAGUUCCUGUGGUCUAAAGGUCCAGCCUGGCCUCUCACUAAGCAUCAUGGACUCGGUGGGGUGUGCACAGGAAGCAGCAAGGGCCCCAAAGAAUCAUCUGUUUUCUCUUUCAGUUUCUUCCAAGAAAUUCGGACGGACCAACUCCCCUCCAAGUAUUUGACAAUAUUUCCCAAGAACAUCACCAGCAGAUAUUUCUAGUUCUGAGAAUCAGACCUAAGGUGUCAUGAAUGCUGGCCCCUCAGGGACCUGUGACCUCCCCGAACAUCACCGAGGGUCCCACAGUUGGUGGGACACCCAGACCCACUCUGGCUACUGACAAAAAGGAUGGAGGCGCCACAGGAAAGCUGCACUGGGAAGGUGAGAAGCCAGGGGAGGGGCCCCAAGUGACACAGCACAGCUCUUCUACAGGGACACCCCAAUUCUUUCUCCGAGCCUUGGAAGCCAAGACCAAAGUCAACUACAGCCAUUGACUCUCUUGUGGCUUCUGCUUCCCAGUGGCUUUCAGCUCCUUGUUCUUGCCCACCACUGUCUCCCUCAGCAUCCCCAGCACAUCGGUGUAGAAGGAAGUGGAAUCCUGAUGGCUUGGGAAGUCACUGUCCGAAACAGAAGAUCCCCGGAGCAGUUUAAUGGUCCUUCCUGCCUGCCUACUCAGCUUGUAAAUAGAUACCUGUCUCAGGCCAAAGCCUGGCUUGGGCUUGGUGGCUAGGGUGUGGCUCCCAAGACCAGCAGCAGAGGUCAGGCCUGUGGGCGUGGCAGAUGCAGCUCACCCACAGGGAGCAGCGCCCACUGUCCAUCCAGAAUGAGAACUGUUUUUAUAGAGGGAGGAUAGCCUAAUGCAAUUAACUCGGUCAGUUAAUGGGCUGCUGCACGAGGGACACCUGCAGGUCCUGUGUUCCCCCGGGCCUCUCAGCUGCACCACACACCCUCCUCACUGUACUGUGCACUCAGACACGUGGAUGCUGGUGUUUUGGGGCCCAUCCUCAUGGUUCAGCCUGCUCUCAACAUGUCCUGUAGAGGGUGGUCACCAAAACCCUGGAGGGUUCGGCAAGCUCAGAGCCAGUGUGUCUGUGUGUGUCUGGGGGGGGAGGGGGGAAGGGGGACAGGGCUGCUUACCUGCAAUGGG